rnacentral:rRNA from 1 species
AUACGGAGGAUCCGAGCGUUAUCCGGAUUUAUUGGGUUUAAAGGGUGCGCAGGCGGGAGAUUAAGUCGGCGGUGAAAUUUUGCAGCUCAACUGUAAAAGUGCCUUCGAAACUGGUUUCCUUGAGUGUAGAUGAAGUAGGCGGGAUUUGUGGUGUAGCGGGGAAAUGCAUAGAUAUCACGAGGAACUCCGAUUGCGCAGGCAGCUUACUAAACUACUACUGACGCUCAGGCACGAAGGCGUGGGGAUCAAACAGGAUUAGAUACCCUGGUAGUCCACGCAGUAAACGAUGAUUACUAGCUGUUUGCGAUACAAUGUAAGCGGCUGAGCGAAAGCGUUAAGUAAUCCACCUGGGGAGUACGUUCGCAAGAAUGAAACUCAAAUGAAUUGACGGGG